rnacentral:rRNA from 1 species
UACGUAGGGGGCAAGCGUUGUCCGGAUUUAUUGGGCGUAAAGAGCGUGUAGGCGGCCUGAAAGGUCAGCUGUGAAAACUCGAGGCUCAACCUCGAGACGUCGGUUGAAACCAUCUGGCUAGAGUCCGGAAGAGGAGUGUGGAAUUCCCGGUGUAGCGGUGAAAUGCGCAGAUAUCGGGAAGAACACCCGUGGCGAAGGCGGCUCUCUGGUACGUGACUGACGCUGAGACGCGAAAGCGUGGGGAGCAAACAGGG